GUGACUACAAGCAAAAUGCCACCGUUCUGCUUUCCAAACCUAUGAGAACUACCGGGGUAUCACAGAUGAGUUCCUAUGCUGGUUCAUUUGCUGUCCCUUGACACCUUCUGACAAGCUCAUGAUUAUAAAGUUGAAACACUCAAAUCUCUACCAGAGAUCUAUUUCUUCUGGAUUCUAUGUUGCCCCUCCUUACCUAGGAUUGAACUGUCCCUCCAGAAUGCCUUGAUGGUCAUCUCAUAGAUGGGUGGGAAGCAGUGCAAAGUUAACAGAAUUGACCACUUGAGCUCACUUGAGACUCUGUGAAGAGGCUGCUCUUUGUCUACCAAUAAUCCCUUCUCUCUCUAUUAUAAACAACCAUAAUUUUAUGUGGGCAGCAACAAGCUGAGCCAGAAGACUACUUUUCCUAGACUUGCUUAUAGGGUAGAGUAGCCCAUGAAAUAUGAGUAGUAGUCAAUGGUGAAGUUUCCAGAAAGACUCUUCUAGGAGGUACUCCUUCUUGGUUUUGUUUCUUCCUCCUUCGGGCUGCCUAGAACACAGAUGUGAAGGCUGUACUGUGGCAGCCAUAUUGUGACAUGGAAGUGACUUUGGGAAUGGAGCUGAGGACUAAGAAUGGUGGAACAGAAAAAGAGAAGGAGACCAAGUCCCUGAUAACUUGGCACUAUUACCCAAGACCUGAACCACCUAGCUUCAGAUUUACCUUAUGAGAAACCAACUUCCAUUUUGCUGAAGUGACUGUUUUUUGAGUUCUCUGUUAUUUGCGAGGGAAGGUACUCAUAAAUGACGAAGACUCUUCAAGGCCAUUUCCAGAUUUGCCCAUCAUUACGACUUCUUUUCUGCUUAUCGAGAUUGAGUUGGACUAACAACUCUGCCGUGACACUUUCUCCAGCUGACCCUGAUUCUCCCAAUCACCCCCUUUCCGUGAUGGCGUUCAAUCUAAUAUUCCCACUGUCUAAUUUUCCCCACAGACAGUGAGCAGGAGCACAUGAGUGAAAAUAACAAUGCUAAGUACAGGACUCACUUUCCCCUCAGAUAUCAACGCACUACAAUGUACUGAGUGGGUUUUCUCAAUAAAGACUAAAUUGAGA